rnacentral:rRNA from 1 species
GGGUUGUGAGGUUAAGCGACUAAGCGUACACGGUGGAUGCCCUGGCAGUCAGAGGCGAUGAAGGACGUGCUAAUCUGCGAUAAGCGUCGGUAAGGUGAUAUGAACCGUUAUAACCGGCGAUUUCCGAAUGGGGAAACCCAGUGUGAUUCGUCACACUAUCAUUAACUGAAUCCAUAGGUUAAUGAGGCGAACCGGGGGAACUGAAACAUCUAAGUACCCCGAGGAAAAGAAAUCAACCGAGAUUCCCCCAGUAGCGGCGAGCGAACGGGGAGCAGCCCAGAGCCUGAAUCAGUGUGUGUGUUAGUGGAAGCGUCUGGAAAGGCGCGCGAUACAGGGUGACAGCCCCGUACACAAAAAUGCACAUGCUGUGAGCUCGAUGAGUAGGGCGGGACACGUGGUAUCCUGUCUGAAUAUGGGGGGACCAUCCUCCAAGGCUAAAUACUCCUGACUGACCGAUAGUGAACCAGUACCGUGAGGGAAAGGCGAAAAGAACCCCGGCGAGGGGAGUGAAAAAGAACCUGAAACCGUGUACGUACAAGCAGUGGGAGCACGCUUAGGCGUGUGACUGCGUACCUUUUGUAUAAUGGGUCAGCGACUUAUAUUCUGUAGCAAGGUUAACCGAAUAGGGGAGCCGAAGGGAAACCGAGUCUUAACUGGGCGUUAAGUUGCAGGGUAUAGACCCGAAACCCGGUGAUCUAGCCAUGGGCAGGUUGAAGGUUGGGUAACACUAACUGGAGGACCGAACCGACUAAUGUUGAAAAAUUAGCGGAUGACUUGUGGCUGGGGGUGAAAGGCCAAUCAAACCGGGAGAUAGCUGGUUCUCCCCGAAAGCUAUUUAGGUAGCGCCUCGUGAAUUCAUCUCCGGGGGUAGAGCACUGUUUCGGCAAGGGGGUCAUCCCGACUUACCAACCCGAUGCAAACUGCGAAUACCGGAGAAUGUUAUCACGGGAGACACACGGCGGGUGCUAACGUCCGUCGUGAAGAGGGAAACAACCCAGACCGCCAGCUAAGGUCCCAAAGUCAUGGUUAAGUGGGAAACGAUGUGGGAAGGCCCAGACAGCCAGGAUGUUGGCUUAGAAGCAGCCAUCAUUUAAAGAAAGCGUAAUAGCUCACUGGUCGAGUCGGCCUGCGCGGAAGAUGUAACGGGGCUAAACCAUGCACCGAAGCUGCGGCAGCGACGCUUAUGCGUUGUUGGGUAGGGGAGCGUUCUGUAAGCCUGCGAAGGUGUGCUGUGAGGCAUGCUGGAGGUAUCAGAAGUGCGAAUGCUGACAUAAGUAACGAUAAAGCGGGUGAAAAGCCCGCUCGCCGGAAGACCAAGGGUUCCUGUCCAACGUUAAUCGGGGCAGGGUGAGUCGACCCCUAAGGCGAGGCCGAAAGGCGUAGUCGAUGGGAAACAGGUUAAUAUUCCUGUACUUGGUGUUACUGCGAAGGGGGGACGGAGAAGGCUAUGUUGGCCGGGCGACGGUUGUCCCGGUUUAAGCGUGUAGGCUGGUUUUCCAGGCAAAUCCGGAAAAUCAAGGCUGAGGCGUGAUGACGAGGCACUACGGUGCUGAAGCAACAAAUGCCCUGCUUCCAGGAAAAGCCUCUAAGCAUCAGGUAACAUCAAAUCGUACCCCAAACCGACACAGGUGGUCAGGUAGAGAAUACCAAGGCGCUUGAGAGAACUCGGGUGAAGGAACUAGGCAAAAUGGUGCCGUAACUUCGGGAGAAGGCACGCUGAUAUGUAGGUGAAGUCCCUCGCGGAUGGAGCUGAAAUCAGUCGAAGAUACCAGCUGGCUGCAACUGUUUAUUAAAAACACAGCACUGUGCAAACACGAAAGUGGACGUAUACGGUGUGACGCCUGCCCGGUGCCGGAAGGUUAAUUGAUGGGGUUAGCGGUAACGCGAAGCUCUUGAUCGAAGCCCCGGUAAACGGCGGCCGUAACUAUAACGGUCCUAAGGUAGCGAAAUUCCUUGUCGGGUAAGUUCCGACCUGCACGAAUGGCGUAAUGAUGGCCAGGCUGUCUCCACCCGAGACUCAGUGAAAUUGAACUCGCUGUGAAGAUGCAGUGUACCCGCGGCAAGACGGAAAGACCCCGUGAACCUUUACUAUAGCUUGACACUGAACAUUGAGCCUUGAUGUGUAGGAUAGGUGGGAGGCUUUGAAGUGUGGACGCCAGUCUGCAUGGAGCCGACCUUGAAAUACCACCCUUUAAUGUUUGAUGUUCUAACGUUGACCCGUGAUCCGGGUUGCGGACAGUGUCUGGUGGGUAGUUUGACUGGGGCGGUCUCCUCCUAAAGAGUAACGGAGGAGCACGAAGGUUGGCUAAUCCUGGUCGGACAUCAGGAGGUUAGUGCAAUGGCAUAAGCCAGCUUGACUGCGAGCGUGACGGCGCGAGCAGGUGCGAAAGCAGGUCAUAGUGAUCCGGUGGUUCUGAAUGGAAGGGCCAUCGCUCAACGGAUAAAAGGUACUCCGGGGAUAACAGGCUGAUACCGCCCAAGAGUUCAUAUCGACGGCGGUGUUUGGCACCUCGAUGUCGGCUCAUCACAUCCUGGGGCUGAAGUAGGUCCCAAGGGUAUGGCUGUUCGCCAUUUAAAGUGGUACGCGAGCUGGGUUUAGAACGUCGUGAGACAGUUCGGUCCCUAUCUGCCGUGGGCGCUGGAGAACUGAGGGGGGCUGCUCCUAGUACGAGAGGACCGGAGUGGACGCAUCACUGGUGUUCGGGUUGUCAUGCCAAUGGCACUGCCCGGUAGCUAAAUGCGGAAGAGAUAAGUGCUGAAAGCAUCUAAGCACGAAACUUGCCCCGAGAUGAGUUCUCCCUGACUCCUUGAGAGUCCUGAAGGAACGUUGAAGACGACGACGUUGAUAGGCCGGGUGUGUAAGCGCAGCGAUGCGUUGAGCUAACCGGUACUAAUGAACCGUGAGGCUUAACCUUACAACGCCGAAG